rnacentral:rRNA from 1 species
CCCUUUUCCUUAUUUGCCAGCGGGUUAAGCCGGGAACUUUAAGGAUACUGCCAGUGACAAACUGGAGGAAGGCGGGGACGACGUCAAGUCAUCAUGGCCCUUACGACCAGGGCUACACACGUGCUACAAUGGUCGGUACAAAGGGUUGCUACCUAGCGAUAGGAUGCUAAUCUCAAAAAGCCGAUCGUAGUCCGGAUUGGAGUCUGCAACUCGACUCCAUGAAGUCGGAAUCGCUAGUAAUCGCGGAUCAGAAUGCCGCGGUGAAUACGUUCCCGGGCCUUGUACACACCGCCCGUCACACCAUGGGAGUUUGUUGCACCAGAAGUAGGUAGUCUAACCGCAAGGAGGACGCUUACCACGGUGUGGCCGAUGACUGGGGUGAAGUCGUAACAAGGU